UGAAAUCAAGGCACCUCUUCCUCCUCCCUGAGGUGCUUUGAGACUAAGCGGCGGCACCUCUCCUCCUCCCUGGUGUCGCCGCACAGAAUUCGGACCUUCGGGUCCACAUGAAAUCAAGGCAUCUCUUCCUCCUCCCUGAGGUGCUUUGA
rnacentral:ncRNA from 19 species